GACGAACGCUGGCGGCAGGCUUAACACAUGCAAGUCGAGCGGGCGUAGCAAUACGUCAGCGGCAGACGGGUGAGUAACGCGUGGGAACAUACCUUUGGUUCGGAACAACACAGGGGAAACUUGUGCUAAUACCGGAUAAGUCCUUACGGGGAAAGAUUUAUCGCCGAAAGAUUGGCCCGCGGUCUGAUUAGCUAGUUGGUGAGGUAAUGGCUCACCAAGGCGACGAUCAGUAGCUGGUCUGAGAGGAUGAUCAGCCACAUUGGGACUGAGACAC
rnacentral:rRNA from 1 species